UACAUACUCCCUCCGUCCGGAAAUACUUGUCCUAGAAAUGGAUAAAAUGGAUGUAUCUAUAACUAAAUUAAGUCUAGAUACAACUAUUUCUAGGACAAGUAUUUCCGGACGGAGGGAGUAGCAC
rnacentral:pre_miRNA from 1 species